ACCACGAUAAGGUGGCGAUUCACGGAGGAGUAUGUUCACCCCUUUACCUUGCUGUCAGACAGCCCUCUUUGACGGGGAGAUGAAGCCGUUAUCUAUGCUCUCUUCAAAAACAUAAUUUUACCUGGUCAUCCGCUGACUCCAUCAGUUAGUUUCUCUGUGUUAUCCUGUGACUAACCCUUCAAAACACAAAAGUCUUCUAAAUACAAAUUCUCCAUCUAGCGUAACUUAAACUGAGAUAGAUUCUUCUAGGUGUGUAGAAUAGGUUUUGCUGCAACCCCACUUCAAACAAUCUGGACUAUCUUUAAGAGCGAUAACAUUAUUAUCCCCCCCAUAGAUGACGAUAAAUAAUCACAAUACAUAGUUGUGAUAUCAGUAACGAGGAAUUUCCUCUCUUUUAUUUCCUUUUGCGCGAAGUCAUCCCCCUCCUCACUAUUCCUUGUUUCCCUCUCUGUCUUUGUGGUGCAGAGGGGCAGAAGACUCAGGCCCAUAAACACAGAGAGCAGCUGCUGCUUCAGGAGCUGGUUUCACUGGUCAACCAGAGGGAUGAACUGGUCCACGACAUGGACGCCAAAGAGAGAGGAGCCCUGGAGGAGGACGAGCGUCUGGAGCGAGGCCUGGAGCAGCGGAGGAGGAAGUACGCCAAACAGCAGAAAGAGAAGUGUGUGAUGCAGUGAUUCUGUGAACUCUCCAGUCACGAAACGGAAGAGGGUGUGAAGACGUGUUUGGUCCUCUUUUCACCUGCUGUCAGACUGAAGAGGACGUUCAGACGCAGUGGGGGUCCUUCUGAACCAAUAUGAGGUGGAUGUAUUUCCAAUGGAGAUCAGAGUGGAGCUCUGAGAAAUAAAUUUUUUGUUUUUGGUUCGCUUUCCUUUUUCAAUGUCUUAAAAUGUGGCAUUUGUGCCUCAUUUUAUGACCGGAGAUCAAAGUAUUCAAAGUGGGCUGUAGUGUUGCUUUCCACAAAUCAAUGCGUUAAACUGAACCCUACGGGAGGUUCAGCACCCAUCGAGCAGAAGACGUUGCAUGUUUGGACUGUUUGCUUUGCAGUUUCUGUGCUGUGUGUUGUUGUUUAGUGACUGUUGUUACAGACUGUGAAUUGAUUGAAAGUAUGUACGAGACUUUGAGAUGUCUGAUACAGAUAUGAGAUGCCAAAAACAGGAGAAGUAGUUCUGAGCAUGUUGGGAUUGGACCCGCUGAUAACAAAAAUCUAGUGGUAUAGUUCAUAUUCACUAUUCAUAGUUACAGGGAUUCAGUGUUUCCUGGUGACUGUUAGUCAUGGCAGGCUGAGAAGUCUCAGUUUAGGCUGGAAACAGACUUAGGUUAGUGUUAAAGAAAGAUUUAGUGGUUUGGGAUUUAAAAAAAAAAAGGAUUUACAGUUCACACCAAAACCAAAAAACACAUAUUUUCCUCUCACCUUAAUCUAUUUUUCAAUCUAGAUAGUUUUGGUGUGAGUUGCCAAGUGAAGUCUGCCUUCUCUCCAAAAAAAUGGAACCAGAUGGUGCUUGGCAGUUGGAUGUAGGAACUAUUUUCUUUCUACCAAACUACACCCCCCGGCGACCGUAUCACUGCACAGAAGGAAGAAUGAGAUGUGAAUGUCCAUGGCGUCCUCCUCGGCCGAGCUGCGACACUGCGACUCGCACCAAAACUAUCCAGACUGAUGAACAUAACUACAGAUAAGAGGAAACGCAUGUAGGUUUGAUUUUAAGGGUGGACUGUCCCUUUAAGGUUACAGAACCACAAAUAUGGCUCCAGCCCCAGAAACUCAAUGUUCUCAAUGCAAUGAGUGAUUCCAUUGGAACUGUCCUGCCCUUGUGUUUGGAUACGUUUGCUGUUACAGAAGCUGUUUGGACACGAGAAGCAGUCUGAGUUUUUGUGUUUUGACAUGUUGAAAUGUUUACGUCAUAUUGUUUGAUGGGAUAAAGGGAAGCAGCCAUUUUAAAUAACUUAUUGGGUAGAUUUAAAGUUUUGCUAUUUAUUCAAGUCGUCAACUGGAGAAGCAGCCACACAGAACCAAAGCUAACAGCCCUCAUCAUGUAGCAUUUGUCUCCCGUCUGUGUAGAGAAUGUUCACACAGUACAGUAGCAUUUAUCCUCUCUGUAAGAUGACUGUGACAUAGCAAUAUUUAUACAUGUAGGAUUUUGUAUUUCACCUUUGAUUGAGAAAAUGUUCUGAUGAGGUUUAACAAACACAUUGCCUUUUAUUUUGAAAAUACCUUUACUUUAUGCAGACGACCGUGAUAUUAUCAUUAGCUCAAAGUGAAUUAAAGGAAACUUCCUCCUUGUUUUUGCACUGAAAAGUGUUUUUACUUCAGCGUGAGGUCGUUCUGUAACAGCGCCGUUGGUUUUACGCUGAAACGUUUGCAGUUGUCACGUUUGCCGCUCUGACCACCACUCGUGUGAAUGAGUCACAAGCUGUCAGAAGGAUUGCUGUUUUUAUUUCUGGUUUUUAUGUUACUGUUGCACUAUUUGUAAAGUUUGAAAAAUAUAAAAGAUUUGAAAGCA